rnacentral:rRNA from 1 species
GAUUAAUACCGGCAUACGCUCUGAGGAGGAAAGCGGGGGAUCUGAAAGGACCUCGCGCGCCGGGAGCGGCCGAUGUCGGAUUAGCUAGUUGGUGGGGUAAAGGCCCNCCAAGGCGACGAUCCGUAGCUGGUCUGAGAGGAUGAUCAGCCACACUGGGACUGAGACACGGCCCAGACUCCUACGGGAGGCAGCAGUGGGGAAUUUUGGACAAUGGGGGCAACCCUGAUCCAGCCAUGCCGCGUGAGUGAAGAAGGCCUUCGGGUUGUAAAGCUCUUUCGGACGGAACGAAAUGGUUACGGAUAACACCCGUGACUG